AACAUUCAUCUACCUGUACAUCUCCGUCAUAGAGCUCUUGGGUGACCAGCUGCAUUGUCGAUGAACAGUAUUUUGAAAGUUACCUUUGUUUCUGGGCAGUAGCCUCAAAAUAUUCAGUAAACCAUUCUGUAAACCCACGUGCUGUCAUGUCAUCCAGGCUUUGUUGUUCUAUUUAUAGAGCACAGGUAGAGUAGAUUUAACAUAAUUUUUAAGGAUCCUAGGAUUUUCUGAGUGGUCAGUGAGCAUUGGCAUCAACUUAAAGUCACCAGCUGCAUUAGCUCCUAUCAAGAGAGUCAGCCUAUUUUUUGAAGCCAGGCAUUGACUUCUCUCUAGCUACGAAAGCCCCUAGAUGGCGUCUUCUUCCAAUAUAAGGCCACUUCAUCUACACUGAACAUCAAUUCUUCUUCCUUACCUCUCUCAGUCUUCAUAGAAUUGAAGAG